GUUCUCAGAGGAAAGACGACGGACCUCAGCAGUGAUACGACUACGGCCGCGCUAUCUCCCGCCUACAGAACGGCAAGUCCGCUGGAGCCUCUGGCAUCCUCCCUGAGGUGCUCAUGGAGGGGUGGGUGGCCCUGACCUCACCGCCAAGCUUGUGGAGCUGUUUGGCGAUGUGUGGCGUGCUGGGGUGGUCCCGCAGGAGUGGGUGGACGCCACGUUGGUCCCCAUCCCAAAGAAAGGGAUUUAUCUCGCUGUGAUAAUUGGCGGGGUAUCUCACUUGCUACCAGUCAGCCCUUUCGAAUAGGUGCAUCCCGCUCUUGCCUCACCACAAGUCUCCAGCGAGACGUCCGCAUCACACCUAUCUGCAUUUUUAAGCCCAGCUGCCUUCGUGAUCUCGGCACCUAUGCCCGCGACAGAAAACAAUGGAGUAACAUCUGCUCAGCCAUUUAGUCUAGUACUGCUCUUCUUAAAUUUGACCUUUAUUACAAGACUCUUCUUUUCUUUUUCAUUUCGUUCUCCCACUCUCACACACACAUGCUCACAGUUAAUUCUGCCAUCGUGAGUCUCAUUCGGGA